rnacentral:tRNA from 1 species
GCGGCUGGAUCCCCUCCUUUCUAAGGAUCGGCACGAAAGCGUCCCUGCUAGACGGGGAAAGAGCUUCGUACCUUUCGUAUAGAACAUUGCCGCCGUCCUCAUGUCCCUUCAUCACUGGAUCAGUCUUCUUGGUUGGUCGCGAUCGAACCGCUGCUUCGCAGCUACGAUCGCUUCUGGCGGGAAGGCUGUACGCCUGAGCUGGCUCACGCCGCCCGCGGCCUUAUGGCCGGCCGGCGAAUAUGUGGGGGCCGGUAGCUCAGGUGGUUAGAGCGCACGCCUGAUAAGCGUGAGGUCGUAGGUUCAACUCCUACUCGGCCCACCAUUGGUAAGGGGCUUUAGCUCAGCUGGGAGAGCGGUUGCUUUGCAAGCAUCAGGUCAUCGGUUCGAUCCCGAUAAGCUCCACCAGUUUCAAGCAGUGACGCAGCGCAAAGCGCUGCGGCCGCUUGAAACUCGCAAGGCUGCGAGAGCAGCCG